UUGUGCCAGGUGAUUGGAUAUGGUGAAAACAACCUGAGUUUUGCUGGGCCAGGAAUUUUGGCCCCUUAAACUGAAGUCCUCCUUAUCAUAGUUUGUUUUGAGGAGGACAAAAUGAUAGCCUUGGGAGCAGGAGGUGUACCAGAGAGGAGCUGACCCAUGACUGUGAGCAAAAAAGUCACCGAAAGAAGGAAAAGAGAUUCUAGCUCCUGGUUAUGUGAUGCAGACUGCAGUGAAAUACCUACUGCAAUGUCUUCCCACCUAAGAUGAACACAGGAGACAAGAAGCGUGUGACACAGCCAGCAUCACACGAGGAGGCCUGCCUAGAUGACAGCUGUCACCACCCCCUGACACAGCUCAUGUUCCUCACAGAUACAGAGAAGAUGGUUAGCACUCAUGCUUUGCAAUAAAGAAAACCACAGUGAACACAAUUCUUGAGGUACAAAUUUCCACAUCCAGCUCCAGCAGAAGGACAAGCAGAGUGACCUCUUCUUCACAGGCUGGCAUUCUUGGGAAUGUUGGGAAUUAAAUAGUUGACUCUGAACUAGGAAGCAAGGUGAGCCUGAGAUACAGCAAACCUCACACACACUGCAGAGGUUUCCCAUCACCUGACAAGUCCAUUACAAUCAUCUCAGGGAGAGGAGUAACGGACAAGCAAAUCAACUGGAUGGGUCUUACCAAAAACAACUUCUGGAUCAUUUCUUUGAUGUUCUUCAACUUGAAUGUUCUUUUCCAGAUAUGAGUUUCAUCUUGUGGAGAAGCUAUUAAUCCCUAUUCGGAAGCAGUUGGCUACUUAGAUGUCAUUCUUGCCACUAUUACAUUUGUGGGAAGAUGUCUCAGUUGUAGCCAGCUCUUGCAGACUCUGCUGUGUAUCUAGCCAGCUUGCUCCAUGGUUCCACUGUCUCUGCCUUCUGAGUAUGGGAGUACAACGUGGUGCCACGCCCACUCAGCAUU